rnacentral:rRNA from 1 species
UACAGAGGUGGCAAGCGUUGCUCGGUAUCACUGGGCUUAAAGGGCGCGUAGGCGGUGCGGUGCGGUUUCGGUGAAAUCCCUCGGCCCAACCGAGGAACAGCCGGGGCUACGGCCGCGCUAGACGGCAUCAGGGGACAGUGGAACUCCCGGUGGAGCGGUGAAAUGCGCAGAUAUCAGGAGGAACACCAAUGGCGAAGGCAGCUCGCUGGGACGUGACUGACGCUGAGACGCGAAAGCGUGGGGAGCAAACAGG